CGUGGAGUAGAGUAAUGGUAACUCGUUAGGCUCAUAUUCUAAAAAUGUUGGUUCAAAUCCAACCUCCGCUA
rnacentral:tRNA from 1 species